rnacentral:rRNA from 1 species
GACGAACGCUGGCGGCGUGCUUAACACAUGCAAGUCGAACGGGCCCGCCCCUGUUUUUGGGGGUGGGUUGAGUGGCGAACGGGUGAGUAUCACGUGAGUAACCUGCCCCCUGCUCCUGGAUAACUGCUUGAAAGGGCGGCUAAUACGGGGUGUGCCGGCUGGUCCGCAUGGGCCUGGUCGGGAUAGUUUCAUCUUCGGGUGUUUCGGUGGGGGAUGGGCUCGCGGCCUAUCAGCUUGUUGGUGGGGUGAUGGCCCACCAAGGCGGUGACGGGUAGCCGGCCUGAGAGGGUGGGCGGCCACACUGUGACUGAGGCACGGCCCAGACUCGUGCGGGAGGCAGCGGUGGGGGGUAGUGCACAAUGGGCGGAAGCCUGAUGCAGCGACGUCGCGUGAGGGAUGGAGGCCUUCGGGUUGUGAACCUCUUUCUCCGGUGGUGAAGGCCCUGUCCGUUGCGGCGGGGUUGACGGUAGCCGGGUAUGAAGCGCCGGCUAACUACGUG